UUUUUGUAUGGGACCACUCUUGGACUGCUGUAAAACCAUUAUUUCAUGAGGCUGGUUAUAAUGAUUCCAAAUGGAAAAAUGAAUGAUGCAUACCUUCAGGAGAUGGCCUCUGGAGUAAAUUCAUUGGAGAGAACACCAAUUCAUCACCAGGGAACGAUGCUGGGACAUUGGGGGAAUGGUGGCUCUCCUCCUCAGACUGGAUGUCAGUGGUGUCACAAUCUUUAUUGAGAUAUCUGUCCAGGCUCCUCGCUGCCUCAUUAUGACUAUCUACAAAUAUGGAAAAACAGUCAAGUACAGUCAGAGUCAGGAGAAAUUAUGUCAGACAGGGGUAUGUUCAGAUUCUUAUACCACAAAUCUUAUACCAGAACACCCACCACGAGUUAUGAGGAGACGGAUAGGCUGGUAUGUGUGCCAUCCCUGACCAGGCUGGUCUCUAUUCAGGAUGGCUGCAUUCAGCCUAAUAGAGUCCUUAGGAGGGUAUGGGGGCCAGAAGACUUUAUAUCCUUCAACCCAUGAGUUUGGCACAAUUUCAGUUGCCCCACUGCUGAACUGAACAACGCACCAUGUGGUCAUUUUUUUUAUUGCAGGGGAUUACAAAGACUAUAGAAAAAAAGCAAGGGAAAAAAAACUUAGAAACUGAUGAACUGACUGCAUAAACUGAUUAUAUGAACUGAUUUGGAAAUUUUGGAAAAAAAUUAAUUGGUAUGAAUGAUGGGAAUGGCGAUGAACUUGGUUUUGUCUGGAUAAAUUAUGUACUUUUUGCCGAUGUGCUGAAGCCUAGUCACACCGACAUUCUUGCACAACCCCCAAACUGUGUAUACCCCAAUGUUUUCAGAUGGAAAGGGAUACUGGCCAUAGGACUCUUUUUUGGUAAACUUGCGAAAAAUUAUGUAAGUCUCCUGACCUACCCUGACAAUGUUUUCAACAACGGCAAUGUUAUCUACAAUUUGAAAACAGUUAUCCCCAGACCUAGAUGAUAUUGUGUACUUUUCUGUAACAAGCUUACAGAACU